GCCAGCUUAGCUCAGUGGUAGAGCAACCGCCUUGUAAGCGGUAGGUCGUGGGUUCAAGUCCCACAGCUGGCU
rnacentral:tRNA from 1 species